rnacentral:rRNA from 1 species
GAUGAACGCUGGCGGCGUGCUUAACACAUGCAAGUCGAACGAAGCACUUUAUUUGAUUUCCUUCGGGACUGAUUAUUUUGUGACUGAGUGGCGGACGGGUGAGUAACGCGUGGGUAACCUGCCUUGUACAGGGGGAUAACAGUUGGAAACGGCUGCUAAUACCGCAUAAGCGCACGACAUCGCAUGAUGCAGUGUGAAAAACUCCGGUGGUAUAAGAUGGACCCGCGUUGGAUUAGCUAGUUGGUGAGGUAACGGCCCACCAAGGCGACGAUCCAUAGCCGACCUGAGAGGGUGACCGGCCACAUUGGGACUGAGACACGGCCCAAACUCCUACGGGAGGCAGCAGUGGGGAAUAUUGCACAAUGGGCGAAAGCCUGAUGCAGCGACGCCGCGUGAGCGAAGAAGUAUUUCGGUAUGUAAAGCUCUAUCAGCAGGGAAGA